rnacentral:tRNA from 1 species
GGUGAUAUAGCUCAGUUGGUUAGAGCAUAGCAUUCAUAAUGCUAGGGUCGCUGGUUCAAGUCCAGCUAUCACCACCA